rnacentral:rRNA from 1 species
AACGCGAAGAACCUUACCCAGACUUGACAUAUAGUAGACCGAUCCAGAAAUGGGUCUUUCCUUCGGGACUGCUAAACAGGUGCUGCAUGGCUGUCGUCAGCUCGUGCCGUGAGGUGUUGGGUUAAGUCCCGCAACGAGCGCAACCCUUAUCAUUAGUUGCCAACAUUUAAGGUGGGAACUCUAAUGAGACUGCCUGGGUUAACCAGGAGGAAGGUGAGGAUGACGUCAAGUCCGCAUGGCCCUUAUGUCUGGGGCUACACACGUGCUACAAUGGUCGGUACAAAAGGCAGCGAAGCCGCGAGGUGCAGCAAAUCCCGAAAACGGCCCCAGUUCAGAUUGUAGUCUGCAACUCGACUACAUGAAGAUGGAAUUGCUAGUAAUGGCGAGUCAGCAACAUCGCCGUGAAUACGUUCCCGGGCCUUGUACACACCGGUACUA